GUAGUUAGCCGGGGCUUCCUCCUUGGCUACCGUCAUUUGUUUCGUCACCAAGGACAGAGGUUUACAACCCGAAAGCCUUCUUCCCUCACGCGGCGUUGCUGGGUCAGGCUUGCGCCCAUUGCCCAAUAUUCCCCACUGCUGCCUCCCGUAGGAGUCUGGACCGUGUCUCAGUUCCAGUGUGGCCGAUCAGCCUCUCAGCUCGGCUACCCAUCGUCGACUUGGUGGGCCGUUACCCCGCCAACUAUCUAAUGGGACGCGAGCCCCUCUCAAAGCGGAUUGCUCCUUUGACCCCUGAGCCAUGUGACUCUGUGGUCUCAUGCGGUAUUAGUGCACCUUUCGGUGCGUUAUCCCCCUGUAAGAGACAGGUUGCUCACGCGUUACUCACCCGUCCGCCGCUAGAAUACACUUCGUAUUGCUACUCAACGUAUCCCCGCUCGACUUGCAUGUGUUAGGCACGCCGCCAGCGUUCGUCCUGAGCCAGAUNAACAACUCGACUACGAGACGGCGGUCGCGACGACGGCGACAG
rnacentral:rRNA from 1 species